UCUGAAUAUAACUAACUUCCUUCCUUCCUGCCUUCCUCCCUCCCUGCCUUCCCUUCCUUCCUGCCUUCCUUCUUCCUUCCUCCCUUUUUUCUUUUCUCCCUUCCUUCCUUCUUAAUAUGUUUUUGGCCUUUUCUUUAUAUAUGUGGCCUAGCAAUAUCCUGUGUUUGGAAAAGUAUAAACCUAAGGCAUCACCUUUACAGAAAAUAUCUUCCACGGAAACAUCUAAAGGCAAAAAUCCUUCAAAUUCAAAUUUAUCCAAUCAUUUCUUCUGCUUACUACCAUCCUAAAUCAUUUUUCUUUAGUAAGAUCUAUUAGUGUGAAGCUAUUAAGCUAUUAAUGUAUGUAUCAUAUUAAUGUAUUAAGACAUUAAGUGAGGAAGUAAAGUUGCAUUCACAGGCCUUGAACUUUUCCACAUCUCGAUUUUUACCCAUCAUCUCUGCAUAGUUCCCUAAGGCAGCCUUCAAAUGGUGAUGUUUCUUAUAAUCCAGAGUUCAGAAGUGGCUUCUCUUCAAUCUUUCUGUGGAAUUCUAAACCACGUGAUAAAGGAGCUGGUGGCCACAGAUCAGCCCUGGGGUUCAGAGGGAUCCUGACAGCUACUCCUCAAGAUCCUCUCUGUUGUGAUUCAUCCCCCCGGGGCCCUACAGUUUCUCCUUCCUGACUCUUACAUUUCUUUGGAUGGCAUCAUUAUUGCUGGAGUGCAGUGAUGUGAUCUCGGCUCACUGCAACCCCUGCCUCCUGGAUUCAAGCAAUUCUCCUGCCUCACCCUCCCAAGUAGCUGGGAUUACAGUACCUGUCUCCUCCCAUAGUUAGGUGCCAAGCACUGUGGAUUCUGCCUCUCAGUGUCCAGACACCCAUUU
rnacentral:lncRNA from 10 species